rnacentral:rRNA from 1 species
UACGUAGGGGGCAAGCGUUGUCCGGAUUUAUUGGGCGUAAAAGGCUUGUAGGUGGCCACGCCAAGUCGGAUGUGAAAUCUCCCGGCUCAACUGGGAGGGGUCAUUCGAUACUGGCGGGCUCGAGGCCGGUAGGGGGAAGUGGAAUUCCCGGUGUAGUGGUGGAAUGCGUAGAUAUCGAGAGGAACACCUGCGGCGAAGGCGGGUUGCUGGGCCGACACUGACGCUGAUGCGCGAAAGCCAGGGGAGCGAACGGG